rnacentral:rRNA from 1 species
UACGAAGGGGGCUAGCGUUGCUCGGAAUCACUGGGCGUAAAGCGCACGUAGGCGGAUCUUUAAGUCAGGGGUGAAAUCCCAAGGCUCAACCUUGGAACUGCCUUUGAUACUGGGGAUCUCGAGUCCGGAAGAGGUUGGUGGAACUGCGAGUGUAGAGGUGAAAUUCGUAGAUAUUCGGAAAGAACACCAGUGGCGAAGGCGACUUACUGGACACAUAUUGACGCUGAGGUGCGAAAGCGUGGGGAGCAAACAGG